rnacentral:lncRNA from 1 species
CGCCGAUCCGGCGCGCGGGGCCGCGAGCUGGAGGCGGGGCCUGUGGCGGCAAGCCCGGUGGCUGGGCGGAGCCAGGGCUGACGGGCGGGGCGGAGAAAAUUCUGGAGCGCCGCCGGUGGGGCAGGGCCACGAGCAUCCUCCUCGCAGCACCGCGCCGCGCGGGGCCCGGGGGCCGCGCUCACGCCCGCCGCUCGGCGUGGACACGAGUGCCACCGGCUUGAGCCGAACCUCUAGCCGAUGCCGCCGCCGCCGCCGCCGCCGCCGGGGAUGCGUACGCCGACUGGGAAGCGAGUGAGGAGGCGACCUGCGCGGCGUCGCCCGACAUGGCCGCGGCGGGCUGAGCCCCAGGUUCCGGAGGAAUGCUCGCUCCCCGCUGGAGUCCCACCGGCCCCUCACGGACCUGAGCCGCGACCACGCGGGCUGCAGCAUGCAGCACAUCAGCGACCCGGAGAAUGCGGACGCGGAAGCACCGCCGCUCAGCACCCCCAAAAAAACACGGAGUCCAGAGAGGCACAGGCACCGCCCCGGCGCGCACAGCUCCACUCAGCGGCUUCCUUGGGUACCACAUACAUAGAUAGGAAUGGGAGCCGAGGACCACUUGAUGCUUGCGGACUUCCUCUAGCAUAA